GAAAUUUUUAUCAUUGCACAAGACCUGCAAAAUAACUAAUUUCAUGGUACAUAUUUCUGCAGUACAUUCAACUGGUGAAACUCUCCCAUUCAAACUGUUAAAAUCCUGAUGUCAAAAAAUUUUCAAGUUUACAAACUAAUGGGCAUCAGGAUAAAUGCAAAUUCUCUUGCCAAUGGGUAAAUUUCCAUCCUUCAGCCAGAUGUACUUUUCCUUGCAGCAUAGACACGGUAUGCAGCCAGCCCGACGAUGGCCACUGCAGCUCCAACUGAAACAAACAUAAGAGAACGAUUGAUGAGUCGAUUGUAUUGCUUGCGACUUCUCCCUGCUUCUGUUUCAGGAAUGCUCAAAUGAGGAUGUUCAGCUGCAUUAACAAUCCUGCGGAAGACACUAUUGGUAUCACCCAUUUUGGAACUGAUGGGAAUAGGAGCCUCAAUUCC
rnacentral:misc_RNA from 1 species